GCCCGCGUAGCGUAAUGGAUAACGCGUUGGCCUCCUAAGCCAAAGAUUGCGGGUUCGAGUCCCGCCGUGGGUA